rnacentral:rRNA from 1 species
UACGUAGGCAGCGAGCGUUGUUCGGAGUUACUGGGCGUAAAGGGUGUGUAGGCGGCCUCUUAAGUUUGGUGUGAAAUCUCCCGGCUCAACCGGGAGGGUGCGCCGAAUACUGAGGGGCUCGAGUGCGGGAGAGGAAAGUGGAAUUCCUGGUGUAGCGGUGAAAUGCGUAGAUAUCAGGAGGAACACCUGCGGUGUAGACGGCUUUCUGGACCAUUGCUGACGCUGAGACACGAAAGCGUGGGUAGCAAACAGG